GCUUGUUUUUUUCUCUCUGGCAUGCACUGUCAGCUGUGGGACCUUAUAUAUCAAGUCAAAGAGCUCAAUUUCAAGUCUCAUAGCAAAGGGUCUGAGAAAGCUUUGCAAAUCCUUCUGUGAAAACAGCAUCCUUUGCCGCUCAAACGGAUUGCAAGCGGAGUGCAACCCUACCUCAACAAUUGAAAAUACACUACACGACCAGAGUCUCUCUGAGACAUGUGCACUUGUCUCCUCAGGAAGAGCCACUACACCUCCUGUGUCCAUCAUCUGGAUAGCAAUAUGUAGGAGGAAUUGGUAGCCAGCCAUACGACCAGUGCUGAGAGAGCGUGACCUGCGCUACCAAUGCCAACACCACCACUUGCACGACCGUUCUGUUGCUAAGAUCCAUGGGAGCUGGAAAGAAAGCUAGUCAAAUACUAGCUCAAUGUGAUCGUCAAAAAUAAUGUAUUUUUACAUCAAGCAGAAGUUUGCGAUCAUCUUGCAAUGAUUACCUAUUGAAUAUGCACAUUGUACAGUAUAUAUGAACAACCCACAAAUGCACAUUAGUUAACAAUGUUAAAUAUACUUAUAUGAAUCACAUACU